UUUUAUGAGAGUUUGAUCCUGGCUCAGGACGAACGCUGGCGGCGUGCCUAAUACAUGCAAGUCGAACGCUUCUUUUUCCACCGGAGCUUGCUCCACCGGAAAAAGAGGAGUGGCGAACGGGUGAGUAACACGUGGGUAACCUGCCCAUCAGAAGGGGAUAACACUUGGAAACAGGUGCUAAUACCGUAUAACAAUCGAAACCGCAUGGUUUUGAUUUGAAAGGCGCUUUCGGGUGUCGCUGAUGGAUGGACCCGCGGUGCAUUAGCUAGUUGGUGAGGUAACGGCUCACCAAGGCCACGAUGCAUAGCCGACCUGAGAGGGUGAUCGGCCACAUUGGGACUGAGACACGGCCCAAACUCCUACGGGAGGCAGCAGUAGGGAAUCUUCGGCAAUGGACGAAAGUCUGACCGAGCAACGCCGCGUGAGUGAAGAAGGUUUUCGGAUCGUAAAACUCUGUUGUUAGAGAAGAACAAGGAUGAGAGUAACUGUUCAUCCCUUGACGGUAUCUAACCAGAAAGCCACGGCUAACUACGUGCCAGCAGCCGCGGUAAUACGUAGGUGGCAAGCGUUGUCCGGAUUUAUUGGGCGUAAAGCGAGCGCAGGCGGUUUCUUAAGUCUGAUGUGAAAGCCCCCGGCUCAACCGGGGAGGGUCAUUGGAAACUGGGAGACUUGAGUGCAGAAGAGGAGAGUGGAAUUCCAUGUGUAGCGGUGAAAUGCGUAGAUAUAUGGAGGAACACCAGUGGCGAAGGCGGCUCUCUGGUCUGUAACUGACGCUGAGGCUCGAAAGCGUGGGGAGCAAACAGGAUUAGAUACCCUGGUAGUCCACGCCGUAAACGAUGAGUGCUAAGUGUUGGAGGGUUUCCGCCCUUCAGUGCUGCAGCUAACGCAUUAAGCACUCCGCCUGGGGAGUACGACCGCAAGGUUGAAACUCAAAGGAAUUGACGGGGGCCCGCACAAGCGGUGGAGCAUGUGGUUUAAUUCGAAGCAACGCGAAGAACCUUACCAGGUCUUGACAUCCUUUGACCACUCUAGAGAUAGAGCUUCCCCUUCGGGGGCAAAGUGACAGGUGGUGCAUGGUUGUCGUCAGCUCGUGUCGUGAGAUGUUGGGUUAAGUCCCGCAACGAGCGCAACCCUUAUUGUUAGUUGCCAUCAUUCAGUUGGGCACUCUAGCAAGACUGCCGGUGACAAACCGGAGGAAGGUGGGGAUGACGUCAAAUCAUCAUGCCCCUUAUGACCUGGGCUACACACGUGCUACAAUGGGAAGUACAACGAGUCGCGAAGUCGCGAGGCUAAGCUAAUCUCUUAAAGCUUCUCUCAGUUCGGAUUGCAGGCUGCAACUCGCCUGCAUGAAGCCGGAAUCGCUAGUAAUCGCGGAUCAGCACGCCGCGGUGAAUACGUUCCCGGGCCUUGUACACACCGCCCGUCACACCACGAGAGUUUGUAACACCCGAAGUCGGUGAGGUAACCUUUUUGGAGCCAGCCGCCUAAGGUGGGAUAGAUGAUUGGGGUGAAGUCGUAACAAGGUAGCCGUAUCGGAAGGUGCGGCUGGAUCACCUCCUUUCUAAGGAA
rnacentral:rRNA from 1 species